rnacentral:sRNA from 1 species
GGUGCCGCUGUGCCAGGUUGAAGUAUUGUAUUUUGCAAAAAGUGCUGAAAUAACAGGAGUUCGUUCAGAGACCAUUUCUGUGCCGCAAGAAAUAAAAGCGUUGCAGUUGUGGAAGGAGAUAGAAACUCGACAUCCUGGAUUGGCUGAUGUUAGAAAUCAGAUAAUAUUUGCUGUUCGUCAAGAAUAUGUCGAGCUUGGAGAUCAGCUCCUCGUGCUUCAACCUGGAGACGAAAUUGCCGUUAUCCCCCCCAUUAGUGGAGGAUAGUGCUUUUGAGCCAUCUAGGAAAGAUAUGGAUGAAGUUGAAGAGAAAUCUAAAGAUGUUAUAAACUUUACUGCUGAGAAACUUUCAGUAGAUGAAGUCUCACAGUUGGUGAUUUCUCCGCUCUGUGGUGCAAUAUCCCUAUUUGUAGGGACUACAAGAAAUAACUUUGAAGGGAAAAAAGUCAUUAGCUUAGAAUAUGAAGCAUAUCUACCCAUGGCGGAAAAUGAAGUCAGAAAGAUUUGUAGUGACAUUAGGCAGAAAUGGCCAGUCAAACACAUAGCAGUGUUCCAUAGACUUGGGUAUGAUUUCCUUUAUCACUCUAAAAGUUAAGUAUAAUUGUUUUCCAUCUUUGUACUAACUGAUUCUUGAAUCUUUCUUAGGAAUUCUAUAUUACCAUGAGAGGAAUAUUCAUGUAUUAUUUUUGGAGGACAAUAGGGAUGGCUGUUAGUACCUUUAGGGACUGCCUAGUGGGUUUUGAUAUUGGGAGAGCUCUUGUUGCCUCUGUUGCUAUAACAAACUGCACUUGUGCC